GACGAACGCUGGCGGCGUGCUUAACACAUGCAAGUGGAGCGACGAACCAGGGCUUGCCCUGGGGCAAAGCCGCGAACGGGUGAGUAACACGUGGGUAACCUGCCCAGAUGACCGGGACAACCCGAGGAAACUCGGGCUAAUACCGGAUGUGCUCUUCCUACAUCAGUGGGACGAGGAAAGGUAGCUUCGGCUUCCGCAUCUGGAUGGGCCCGCGGCUCAUUAGCUUGUUGGUGGGGUAAUGGCCUACCAAGGCGACGAUGGGUAGCUGGUCUGAGAGGACGAUCAGCCACACUGGGACUGAGACACGGCCCAGACUCCUACGGGAGGCAGCAGUGGGGAAUCUUGCGCAAUGCGCGAAAGCGUGACGCAGCAACGCCGCGUGCGGGAAGACGGCCUGGUGU
rnacentral:rRNA from 1 species